rnacentral:snRNA from 1 species
AUCGCUUCUCGGCCUUUUGGCUAAGAUCAAGUGUAUGAUGACCAUAACUGCAACAAUUUUCAUAAGGGUUUGGGUACAAAGGUAAACAAAGGUAUACAUAAAUAACUGAUCUAUACCAAUAUUAGAUUCUGUAAUGUACAUUAU